rnacentral:tRNA from 1 species
UCCUGGGUGGUGAAAAUGGUUAACACGUUUGACUGCAAAUCAAGAGACUGGAUGUUCAAGUCCACCCAGAGG